rnacentral:tRNA from 1 species
GGGGUUGUGGCUCAGUGGUAGAGUGCUCGCUUGGCAUGCAGAAGGCACUGGGUUCGAUCCCCAGCACCA